rnacentral:rRNA from 1 species
UACGUAGGUGGCGAGCGUUGUCCGGAAUCAUUGGGCGUAAAGGGAGCGCAGGCGGUCAUGUAAGUCUUACUUAAAAGUUCGGGGCUCAACCCCGUGAUGGGUAAGAAACUAUAUGACUUGAGUACAGGAGAGGAAAGCGGAAUUCCCAGUGUAGCGGUGAAAUGCGUAGAUAUUGGGAGGAACACCAGUGGCGAAGGCGGCUUUCUGGACUGCAACUGACGCUGAGGCUCGAAAGCCAGGGGAGCGAACGGG